UCAAUGGUCUCGCCAUAGACAUUAGGAGUAGCUGGGUGGGCGGGUCUGUUGCUGGCUGCGUUUCCUCUAUGUCUGCAGGCGGGUGAGCGCUCCCCUGUUCGGGGUGGAGCGUCUUUCAUUCCCAUGUGCUGAGCGGGGUUGGAUUUGCUGUCGCUCUUCCUCAGCACCAGCUUUGCUUUGGUGAUGAUGCCUCGCAUAGGCUCAAGCUCCCCAGCCGCCUGGACCGACUUGAACUCUGGAUUUUAGUUUUGUGAAUCUUGUGCACAAGGAGGAAAUUGGCUGUUAUUGGCCCUCAGCUGGGCAGACCCAACAUUUCGGUAACAGUUUCUGGUGACCCAGAUGGGACUUUCCUAGUUUGGACAUCGAACUCCGGACGGCUGCGGCAAACUAGGAGCGGCACCUAGUGUUUAGCCCCUCUUCCUCACUUCACCAUGGCCCCUGAGGUUCGUGCUCUGAUAAGUCACUGCUUCCCAGGAUAGACUCACCUGGGAACAACUUCAAAAGGAGAGACAGAGGUCCUAAUAUCAAACUAUCAAACUCAGUGGUUAGUGUACUCUCCUGACAAAUAGGCAACCCCCUGUUCAAAUUCUUCCUUGCCCUCUGGUAGAGAGUGGGUGGCUUCAAUCUGGGUCUCCCACAUCCUAGGUGAGUGCUAUAACCACUGGACUAAAAGUUAUAAAGUGGGUGAUGGCGCCACCUCCUCCAUUGACUGUUUUAUGUGGAGUGAAGCAGGUGCCUAACUCAUUUUUGCAAGAAACACCUAAGCUGCCUGACUUCAGAAGAGAGGUUUGCAUUUGGGGAUGAUCACUUAGCUCUGGUCUACACUAUGAGUUUAAGCUGAAUUUAGCAGUGUUUGAUCGAUUUAACCCUGCACCCAUCCACAUGAUGAAGCCAUUUAGGUCAUCUUAAAGGACUCUUAAAAUCGAUUUUUGUACUCCUUCUCGGUGAGGGGAUUAGUGCUAAAAUCAACAUCGAUGGGUCAAAUUUGGGGUAGUGUGGAUGCAAUUGUACGGUAUUGGCCUUUGGGAACUAUCCCAGAGUGCUCCAUUGUGACCGCUCUGGACAGCACUUUCAACUCAGAUGCACUACUCAGGUACACAGGAAAAGCCCCGGGAGCUUUUGAAUUUCAUUUCCUGUUUGGCCAGCGUGAUGAGCUCAUCAGCGCAGGUGACCACGCAAUCCCAGAAUCGCAAAAGAGAUCCAGCAUGGACUGAAUGGGAGGAACUGGAUCUGAUCGCUGUUUGGGGAGAUGAAUCCAUGCUAUCAGAACUCCGUUCCAAAAGACAUAAUGCCAAUAUAUAUGCCAAAAUCUCUAAGAGCAAAUGCGAGGUGUUUAAAAUGCUCACAACUGCACCGGUGAUCUGAGCGGACUCCUGCUUGCAGUGCUAUGGUGUGUGUGUGGGCAAUCCAGGAAAAAGGGCGAGAAAUGAUUCUCUGCUUUCACGGAGGGAGGGAGGAAGGGGUCCAUGCAAAACCACCUGCAGCUACCUUGCCCAUUAUGUCAAUUUUUUUUAAUUAAUAAAGAAAGAAUGCAUGGUUACAAAACAAUAGUUACUUUGUUUUGAAGGGGGAAGGGUGGUUGGUUUUCAGGGAAUUAAAAUCAACAAAGGGGGCAGGUUUGUAUCAAGGA